rnacentral:rRNA from 1 species
GACGAACCGUGCGAACGUUGUUCGGAAUCACUGGGCUUAAAGGGCGCGUAGGCGGGCUGUCAAGUCUGGGGUGAAAUGCUGCGGCUCAACCGUAGAACUGCCUUAGAUACUGACGGCCUCGAGGAAGGUAGGGGCAUGCGGAACUGUAGGUGGAGCGGUGAAAUGCGUUGAUAUCUACAGGAACUCCGGUGGCGAAAGCGGCGUGCUGGACCUUUUCUGACGUUGAGGCGCGAAAGCUAGGGGAGCAAACGGG